AGAAGGAUAGGCAAAAGUCUUGUCAACCCGGUCAGGUUCGGAAGAAAGCAGCCGUCGCAAAUCGCUUUUGGGUUAUCCUUCACUC
rnacentral:SRP_RNA from 1 species